rnacentral:rRNA from 1 species
UACGGGGGGGGCAAGCGUUGUUCGGAAUUACUGGGCGUAAAGCGUGCGCAGGCGGUUUCUUAAGUCAGAUGUGAAAGCCCCGGGCUUAACCUGGGAACUGCGUUUGAAACUGGGAGACUUGAGUGUGGCAGAGGGGGGUGGAAUUCCACGUGUAGCAGUGAAAUGCGUAGAUAUCUGGAGGAACACCGGUGGCGAAGGCGGCAUCCUGGACCGACACUGACGCUGAGGAGCGAAAGCCAGGGGAGCAAACGGG